AGCUCAGCCUUGGAUCAAGCUCUGCCUCGGAUCAAGCUCGGCCUCGGAUCAGCCUCAGCCGGACUUGGGCUCCGCUCAGGCUCCGCUCAGGCUCGGCCUCAGCCUCAGGCUCCGCUCGCGCUUGGACUUGGGCUUAGGCUUACACUCAGACUUGAGCACCACUCAGCUUGGGCUCGGGCUUGGGCUUGCACUUGAAUUCAGGCUCAGGGGUGGGCUCAGGCUCAGGCUUGGGCUCCGCUUGGGCACAAGCUCGGGUUCGGGCUUGGGCUCGGCUCCAGGCUUGGACUCCGCUCAGGCUUGGGCUCAGGCUCGGGUUCAGGCUCCACUCAGGUUCAGGCUUGGCUYGGGCGUGGGCUUGUCUUGGGUACAGGCUCGGCUCAGGCUCACUUCAGGUUCAGGUUUGGGCUCGGGUGUGGGCUCGGCUUGGGCUCCGCUCGGCUGGGCUGGCCAUGCCGCAUGCCUGCCCUCCAGAGCGGGGACCCGCCGGCCCCCUCGCCUGGCCUUGCCACCACCGUCCCCCUGCAGACAGCUGCAGCACCGAGGACACCGCGAUUUACUCCGGGCCGAGGUUCCUGCAGCCUGUGUUCACCAGGGGCUGUGCUGCAGCCAGCUUUGAUCUUAAUGCCCAAAACAGUCCUCAGCUUGAACCAAGAGGUUCGCUCAAGCGCACGCUCUCACACACGUGCGCGCGUGCUCUGUUCUGCCUCAACCUUGCCAAAGAGCCAGCGUGCCUCCCCGCCGUUAAAGAUGCCCUCGUGUUUGGUCUGAGCGGCCCAAGGGGGGCAGCGAAAGGCAGAGGCUCAGCGAGGAGCAGGUGUGAGCAGCAAUUGCUCAGCUGGCUCGUUCCAAACUCCUGCUCGGGAUGUCAAGACGUGUUCRUCUGGGAGCUGGCACACGGCAGCACAGGAGACCAGUGCUCCACACAGAGCGCUCUGCAGGGCUCCAGCAUGUUGCCUUUGUUAAAUUUUUCACUAACUAUAAAAUCAAUAAGCGGUCCUCAGGUGGUGCAGCCCUAUGCUGCAGGGCUCUUCAAGCAGCUCUGGGUUAACCCUUCCCAAAUAAACAGAGGCACACAUAGUUUGGCAUUUGCACAGGCAGUCCCGGUGGCAUGGAGCCCGUGUCAGCGGAUGGCCAUGGAGGUGUUCGUGCUCCUUUCUCCUAGCUGUGCUUCCUCAUAG
rnacentral:lncRNA from 1 species